UACUGUCUGUUUCCCAUUGUAGAAAUGUACUGCACUCAAGCAGUAGUAUUCUUCAUGUUAAACAUAAAUAUACACUGAUCUGAGAACAGCAAACACAAGGUUGGCAGUAUUGACGGCAAAAAAGGCUACAGAAUAUUUUGUUCUGUAUUGACAGGUGGAAUAUUUGAAAA